rnacentral:rRNA from 1 species
ACGUAGGUGGCAAGCGUUGACCGGAUUUAUUGGGCGUAAAGCGAGCGCAGGCGGUUUUUUAAGUCUGAUGUGAAAGCCCUGGGCUCAACCGGAGAACUGCGUUUGUAACUGCGAGACUUGAGUGCAGCAGAGGACGGUGGAAUUCCACGUGUAGCGGUGAAAUGCGUAGAUAUGUGGAGGAACACCGAUGGCGAAGGCAGCUGUCUGGUUUGUCACUGACGCUGAGGCACGAAAGUGUGGGGAGCAAACAG